GACGAAGGUGGCAAGCGUUGUUCGGAAUCACUGGGCUUAAAGAGUAUGUAGGCGGCCUGUCAAGCGUCUUGUGAAAGCCCUCGGCUCAACCGAGGAAUUGCUUGGCGAACUGACUGGCUUGAGGCAGGUAGGGGCGUGUGGAACUCUUGGUGGAGCGGUGGAAUGCGUAGAUAUCAAGAGGAACGCCAGAGGCGAAAGCGACGCGCUGGGCCUGUCCUGACGCUGAGAUACGAAAGCCAGGGGAGCGAACGGGAUUAGAUACCCCAGUA
rnacentral:rRNA from 1 species